rnacentral:rRNA from 1 species
CCUACGGGAGACAGCAGUGGGGAAUAUUGGGCAAUGGGCGCAAGCCUGACCCAGCAACGCCGCGUGAAGGAAGAAGGCUCUCGGGUUUUUAACCUCUUUUAUUAUGGACGAAGCAAGUGCCGGUACCUGAUCAAUAAGCCACGGCUAACUACGUGCCAGCAGCCGCCGUAAUACGGAGGUGGCAAGCGUUAUCCGGAUUUACUGGGUGUAAAGGGCGUGUAGGCGGGAAAGUAAGUCAGAUGUGAAAACCAUGGGCUCAACCUGUGGCCUGCAGUUGAAACUGUUUUUCUUGAGUACUGGAGAGGCAAGCGGAAUUCGUGGUGUAGCGGUGAAAUGCGUAGAUAUCAGGAGGAACACCAGUGGCGAAGGCGGUUUGCUGGACAGCAACUGACGCUGAGGCGCGAAAGCGUGGGGAGCAAACAGGAUUAGAUACCCCUGUAGUC